CGGAACUCUCGAGCCUCGGAACCCACAAGUGCGGGCGUGAGGCGCCGGAGGGCAGAGGAGUGGAACACGCUGUCCGCGGACGGACCCGGAAGCACAUGGCGGCGAGCCUCCAGGAGCGGGAGGCGGAACGCAGAGUGGCAGGUUGUGCCGGAAGCCUCGCUGUGGU
rnacentral:lncRNA from 1 species